rnacentral:lncRNA from 1 species
GAUCAUAUGUCAUGUGGUUUGUGCAACCACUGUCCACGAGCCAGCUUUCAGAGGUGCUUCCGUUUGCAAAACAUGUUGCUGAAAAUAGUUGCUCCUCUUGGUAUUGUUCAGCUGCUACAUUGUUUUCUCCCUGCUGCUGUUGAGUUCUACAGAUCCUUUCUAUGUGUCCCUGUCUACCACAUUUGUUGCAUUUCACAUCUGG